ensembl:ncRNA T28C12.8 ncRNA
GUGGACAAAAAACGCGGUCAAACGAGCGGACCCAUGCCGACCGGGAGAAGUUAGGCGGGAAGCCUGGAGACGCAGAGCAAAACAGCUGCUCGACGAUGUGCGUAUUAUGUGUAACUGAUCGAAAACACAUGCACAAAAUAACGGAUGAGGAGCGGAGGAGAAGAUGGUAGAGCUGAGAA